rnacentral:rRNA from 1 species
AUUGAACGCUGGCGGCAUGCCUUACACAUGCAAGUCGAACGGUAACGCGGGGCAACCUGGCGACGAGUGGCGAACGGGUGAGUAAUGUAUCGGAACGUGCCCAGUUGUGGGGGAUAACUGCUCGAAAGAGCAGCUAAUACCGCAUACGACCUGAGGGUGAAAGCGGGGGAUCGCAAGACCUCGCGCAAUUGGAGCGGCCGAUAUCAGAUUAGGUAGUUGGUGGGGUAAAGGCUCACCAAGCCAACGAUCUGUAGCUGGUCUGAGAGGACGACCAGCAACACUGGGACUGAGACACGGCCCAGACGCCUACGGGAGGCAGCAGUGGGGAAUUUUGGACAAUGGACGCAAGUCUGAUCCAGCCAUGCCGCGUGCGGGAAGAAGGCCUUCGGGUUGUAAACCGCUUUUGUCAGGGAAGAAACGCUCUGGGUUAAUACCUCGGGGUAAUGACGGUACCUGAAGAAUAAGCACCGGCUAACUACGUGCCAGCCGCCGCCGUAAGAC